GAACUGACCCGACUUAUGACGAUUUCACCAAACCGGAUGUAGAAACUGAAGUUCCGUUCCGUGCGUGCAAGUGAUACUGACAUAAAACCUUUCGUGCUUUGUAAUCGUAAGCAUGUUUUCGUAGUAUGAUAACGUUUUAGAAUGUUAUUGAUGUGUUACAAUAGUUGGGUGUACAAUAUUAACAUAAUACAAGACAAAACGCAGUGAAACACAGACUUGGCGGUUCAGGUUGUAUCUUCGUCAAAUCCAUUGGCAGCACGUGUACUAGCCCAGGCUAUCGAAGAGGAUUGGAGCCAAGGCCUCUGAACUGAAUGGGAGGAAGCAUUCCUUGAAUUAAAUCCACUCCUGGCGUCUAUAACAACUAAGUGCCGAACCGGAGAUGUCCUGUGCAUGACCAAAAGACCUUAUGUUCAGGAACAGGUACUAACAAUUUUACAAUUUAUGGUUGAAUGUUUCUUUUGUCAGCUCUAAUUCAAGCUGGUUAAAUAGUGAAAGUGGUGAUUACGUAACGAAGAAGAAUAGAACAUUCAUUACCAGAUCUACUUGUAGGGGGGAGACGACGAUACGAAUAAUCGAGCUGUUGUUACCAUC